rnacentral:rRNA from 1 species
AGUGGCGGACGGGUGAGUAACACAUGGGUGACCUACCCCCCAGUGAGGGAUACCGGCGAGAAAUUGCCGACAAGCCCGCAUAGGGUCUUGCUGGUAGAGCAGUGAGAGCAAAGCUUCUUUCUCUUUCGAGAGGGAGAGGCGCUGAGGGAUGGGCCUGUGGCCGAUUAGCUGGUUGGUGGGGUAAGAGCCUACCAAGGCGUCGAUCGGUAGCUGGUCUGAGAGGACGAUCAGCCACACUGGGAUUGAGAACGGCCCAGACUCCUACGGGGGGCAGCAGUGAGGAAUUUUCCGCAAUGGGGGCAACCCUGACGGAGCAACGCCGCGUGCAGGAGUACGCUUUUCGGAGUGUAAACUGCUUUUCUGUGGGAAGAGAACGGACGGUACCACAGGAAGAAGCCCCGGCUAACUACGUGCCAGCAGCCGCGGUAAUACGUAGGGGGCGAGCGUUGUCCGGAGUUACUGGGCGUAAAGGGCACGCAGGCGGUCGCAGGCGUUUCGGGUGACAGCGGGUGGCUUAACUACCCGAGUGUUCGAAA